AGUGGCGGACGGGUGAGUAACACGUAGGUAACCUGCCCCGGAGCGGGGGAUAACAUUUGGAAACAGAUGCUAAUACCGCAUAACAACAAAAGCCACAUGGCUUUUGUUUGAAAGAUGGCUUUGGCUAUCACUCUGGGAUGGACCUGCGGUGCAUUAGCUAGUUGGUAAGGUAACGGCUUACCAAGGCGAUGAUGCAUAGCCGAGUUGAGAGACUGAUCGGCCACAAUGGAACUGAGACACGGUCCAUACUCCUACGGGAGGCAGCAGUAGGGAAUCUUCCACAAUGGGCGCAAGCCUGAUGGAGCAACACCGCGUGAGUGAAGAAGGGUUUCGGCUCGUAAAGCUCUGUUGUUGGAGAAGAACGUGCGUGAGAGUAACUGUUCACGCAGUGACGGUAUCCAACCAGAAAGUCACGGCUAACUACGUGCCAGCAGCCGCGGUAAUACGUAGGUGGCAAGCGUUAUCCGGAUUUAUUGGGCGUAAAGCGAGCGCAGGCGGUUGCUUAGGUCUGAUGUGAAAGCCUUCGGCUUAACCGAAGAAGUGCAUCGGAAACCGGGCGACUUGAGUGCAGAAGAGGAAAGUGGAACUCCAUGUGUAGCGGUGGAAUGCGUAGAUAUAUGGAAGAACACCAGUGGCGAAGGCGGCUGUCUGGUCUGCAACUGACGCUGAGGCUCGAAAGCAUGGGUAGCGAACAGGAUUAGAUACCCUGGUAGUCCAUGCCGUAAACGAUGAGUGCUAGGUGU
rnacentral:rRNA from 1 species